UACGGGGGGGGCAAGCGUUGUUCGGAAUUACUGGGCGUAAAGGGCUCGUAGGCGGCCAACUAAGUCAGACGUGAAAUCCCUCGGCUUAACCGGGGAACUGCGUCUGAUACUGGAUGGCUUGAGGUUGGGAGAGGGACACGGAAUUCCGGGUGGAGUGGUGAAAUGCGUAGAGAUCGGGAGGAACACCUGUGGCGAAGGCGGCCGACUGGGCCGACCCUGACGCUGAGGCGCGAAGGCGUGGGGAGCGAACGGG
rnacentral:rRNA from 1 species